rfam:Gossypium hirsutum cultivar TM-1 chromosome 21, whole genome shotgun sequence
UAUUAAAGAUUUCAUCCAUUUUUAUUGUUAAAAACUGGCGUGGAUAAUUACAUGUGACGUGUUUCAUGUACCUCGUGCUGGCAUACGAUGACAAAUUUUUAACAAUAAAAAUAAGUGGAAUUUUUAACA